CCUUUGACGUUUGACCCUUUGUCGUUUGACCCUGUGUCGUUUGACCCUGUGCCGUUUGACCCUGUGUCGUUUGACCCUCUGUCGGUGAACCCAUAACGACGAAUGUAUUAUUAAAUUUUAAAUGACAGAACAGCAUUAAUUUGACAAAUAAAAAGUAAAUCUACAUUUGUUAAGUAUUAAGUAUUAAUUAAAUAACAUCUAAAAGUAUGAUAUUUAUGAUAGUCCACAGAUUGAAUCUUUUUAAUGAAAAUUUUCAGCACUAAAAUAUAUUCACUCUCUUCUAUUAAAGUUUGUAAAAUUAUAAUAAUGUCAACCUAAUAAACUGGAAACAUAACACUUUACCUUCAGGAAGUACGACCAAUUAGAUGCUUUUUUUCAUCAUUUUUACUCCAAUAGAUCGUCAUUAUGCUGCUUUCAAUUAACCACAAUAUAUGUGUUACUUUCCGUUGUUGUAAAUGUUUUUUCAAUAAUUUUUUUAUAAUGUUUUUUUAUGUUUCAUUUUGUCCUAUUCCUCUUCACUAUUUGAAGUUAAUACUUGUUACAUGGAAUUAAACAAGAAUCAUUGUCAAGUAAAAGUUUUUGUGUGUCAGUCAAAUCCCUGUCCUCUAAAAAUAUGGGAUUUAAAAUGGGAGCAAAAAAACUUUUUGUUUCAGUCUUAAUGUGUAAAAAAAUAACCAAAAGCAGUUUUUACCUUCAUACCUUUUAGCUUCAGCAUUUUUUCCUAAAAUUUAGUUUUUUAUCUGUUAUGUGAUAUUUAUUUUUUUAUGUUUGCAAAUAUAUAUGGUUUUCCGCGCAUUAGUGUGUGUUGUGCUGAACAACCUUCUACCGUAGGUAGUUCAGCAGCUCUUCAAUACAUCAAAUUCGAUCCUUGGUUAAAAUAGCAUUUGAUUGAUCUUAAUAAAUGAUUUGAUUGAUCUUAAUAAAUAUAGUUUUUAAGUAAAAGUA